rnacentral:rRNA from 1 species
AUUGAACGCUGGCGGCAGGCCUAACACAUGCAAGUCGAGCGGAUGAAGGGAGCUUGCUCCUGGAUUCAGCGGCGGACGGGUGAGUAAUGCCUAGGAAUCUGCCUGGUAGUGGGGGAUAACGUCCGGAAACGGGCGCUAAUACCGCAUACGUCCUGAGGGAGAAAGUGGGGGAUCUUCGGACCUCACGCUAUCAGAUGAGCCUAGGUCGGAUUAGCUAGUUGGUGGGGUAAAGGCCUACCAAGGCGACGAUCCGUAACUGGUCUGAGAGGAUGAUCAGUCACACUGGAACUGAGACACGGUCCAGACUCCUACGGGAGGCAGCAGUGGGGAAUAUUGGACAAUGGGCGAAAGCCUGAUCCAGCCAUGCCGCGUGUGUGAAGAAGGGCUUCGGAUUGUAAAGCACUUUAAGUUGGGAGGAAGGGCAGUAAGUUAAUACCGUGCUGUUUUGACGUUACCAACAGAAUAAGCACCGGCUAACUUCGUGC